AAGUCGUAACAAGGUAACCGUAGGUGAACCUGCGGUUGGAUCAUUAAUGAAUUUGAUGGCGGAAGCUAUCUCAAAGGUUCUUCGUUAAUGUAAAAGUUAACCUUGGACUGACACCUCUUGUGAAUAGUUUUGAAUGUCUUUGGUAUGGCCUACUCUACGUUAGGAGAGUGGGUGGUGCUGUUUAUUCAGUACCAACAUGCCUCUGACUUACUUUAAACAUUGUUUAGUUUUGGUAUGAUCAAAUAUAAAAAUUGAAACAACUUUUGACAACGGAUCUCUUGGCUCUC
rnacentral:misc_RNA from 1 species